CCUACGGGCGGCAGCAGUGGGGAAUAUUGGACAAUGGGGGGAACCCUGAUCCAGCCAUGCCGCGUGUGUGAAGAAGGCCCUCGGGCUGUAAAGCACUUUCAGUGAGGAAGAACGCCUGGUGGUUAAUACCCAUCAGGAAAGACAUCACUCACAGAAGAAGCACCGGCUAACUCCGUGCCAGCAGCCGCGGUAAUACGGAGGGUGCGAGCGUUAAUCGGAAUUACUGGGCGUAAAGCGCGCGUAGGUGGCUUGAUAAGCCGGUUGUGAAAGCCCCGGGCUCAACCUGGGAACGGCAUCCGGAACUGUCAAGCUAGAGUGCAGGAGAGGAAGGUAGAAUUCCCGGUGUAGCGGUGAAAUGCGUAGAGAUCGGGAGGAAUACCAGUGGCGAAGGCGGCCUUCUGGACUGACACUGACACUGAGGUGCGAAAGCGUGGGUAGCAAACAGGAUUAGAUACCCCUGUAGUC
rnacentral:rRNA from 1 species